rnacentral:rRNA from 1 species
CAUGCAAGUCGAGCGGUAAGGCCCUUCGGGGUACACGAGCGGCGAACGGGUGAGUAACACGUGGGUGAUCCGCCCUGCACUUCGGGAUAAGCCUGGGAAACUGGGUCUAAUACCGGAUAUGACCAAAGGCUGCAUGGCUUUUGGUGGAAAGGUUUACUGGUGCAGGAUGGGCCCGCGGCCUAUCAGCUUGUUGGUGGGGUAAUGGCCUACCAAGGCGACGACGGGUAGCCGACCUGAGAGGGUGACCGGCCACACUGGGACUGAGACACGGCCCAGACUCCUACGGGAGGCAGCAGUGGGGAAUAUUGCACAAUGGGCGAAAGCCUGAUGCAGCGACGCCGCGUGAGGGAUGAAGGCCUUCGGGUUGUAAACCUCUUUCACCAGGGACGAACCGAGAGUGACGGUACCUGCAGAAGAAACACCGGCUAACUACGUGCCAUCAGCCGCGGUAAUACGUAGGGUGCGAGCGUUGUCCGGAAUUACUGGGCGUAAAGAGUUCGUAGGCGGUUUGUCGCGUCGUCUGUGAAAACCCAUCGCUCAACGAUGGGCCGGCAGGCGAUACGGGCAGACUUGAGUACUGCAGGGGAGACUGGAAUUCCUGGUGUAGCGGUGAAAUGCGCAGAUGUCAUGAGGAACACCGGUGGCGAACGCCGCUCUCUGGGCAGUAACUGACGCUCAGUAGCGAAAGCGUGCGUAGCACACAAGAUUAUAUACCCUGGUAGUCCACGCCGUACACGGUGGUCGCUACGUGUAGGUUCCUUCCACGGGAUCUGUGCCGUAACUAACGCAUUAUGCGCCCCGCCUUGGGAGUACGGCACGCAGGCUAACACUCAGAUGAUCUGACGGUG